rnacentral:rRNA from 1 species
CAGGGGCUACGGGGCGCAGCAGUAGGGAAUCUUCCACAAUGGGCGAAAGCCUGAUGGAGCAACGCCGCGUGGGUGAAGAAGGUCUUCGGAUCGUAAAACCCUGUUGUUAGAGAAGAAAGUGCGUGAGAGUAACUGUUCACAUUUCGACGGUAUCUAACCAGAAAGCCACGGCUAACUACGUGCCAGCAGCCGCGGUAAUACGUAGGUGGCAAGCGUUAUCCGGAUUUACUGGGCGUAAAGGGAACGCAGGCGGUCUUUUAAGUAUGAUGUGGAAGCCUUCGGCUUUACCGG